rnacentral:rRNA from 1 species
UACGUAGGGGGCUAGCGUUGUCCGGAAUCAUUGGGCGUAAAGCGCGUGUAGGCGGUUCGGUAAGUCCGCUGUGAAAGUCGGGGGCUCAACCCUCGGAUGCCGGUGGAUACUGUCGGACUAGAGUACGGAAGAGGCGAGUGGAAUUCCGGGUGUAGCGGUGGAAUGCGUAGAGAUCCGGAAGAACACCGGGGGCGAAGGCGGCUCGCUGGGCAUGGUCCGACGCUGAGGCGCGAAAGCGUGGGGAGCGAACAGG